rnacentral:rRNA from 1 species
GAUGAACGCUGGCGGCGUGCCUAAUACAUGCAAGUCGAGCGAACAGACGAGGAGCUUGCUCCUCUGACGUUAGCGGCGGACGGGUGAGUAACACGUGGAUAACCUACCUAUAAGACUGGGAUAACUUCGGGAAACCGGAGCUAAUACCGGAUAAUAUAUUGAACCGCAUGGUUCAAUAGUGAAAGACGGUUUUGCUGUCACUUAUAGAUGGAUCCGCGCCGCAUUAGCUAGUUGGUAAGGUAACGGCUUACCAAGGCGACGAUGCGUAGCCGACCUGAGAGGGUGAUCGGCCACACUGGAACUGAGACACGGUCCAGACUCCUACGGGAGGCAGCAGUAGGGAAUCUUACGCAAUGGGCGAAAGCCUGACGGAGCAACGCCGCGUGAGUGAUGAAGGUCUUCGGAUCGUAAAACUCUGUUAUUAGGGAAGAACAAAUGUGUAAGUAACUAUGAACGUCUUGACGGUACCUAAUCAGAAAGCCACGGCUAACUACGUG